AGAGUUUGAUCCUGGCUCAGGACGAACGCUGGCGGCGUGCCUAAUACAUGCAAGUAGAACGCUGAAGGAGGAGCUUGCUUCUCCGGAUGAGUUGCGAACGGGUGAGUAACGCGUAGGUAACCUGCCUGGUAGUGGGGGAUAACUAUUGGAAACGGUAGCUAAUACCGCAUAAUAGCAGUUGUUGCAUGACAACUGUUUGAAAGGUGCAACUGCACCACUACCAGAUGGACCUGCGUUGUAUUAGCUAGUUGGUGGGGUAACGGCUCACCAAGGCGACGAUACAUAGCCGACCUGAGAGGGUGAUCGGCCACACUGGGACUGAGACACGGCCCAGACUCCUACGGGAGGCAGCAGUAGGGAAUCUUCGGCAAUGGACGGAAGUCUGACCGAGCAACGCCGCGUGAGUGAAGAAGGUUUUCGGAUCGUAAAGCUCUGUUGUAAGAGAAGAACGAGUGUGAGAGUGGAAAGUUCACACUGUGACGGUAUCUUACCAGAAAGGGACGGCUAACUACGUGCCAGCAGCCGCGGUAAUACGUAGGUCCCAAGCGUUGUCCGGAUUUAUUGGGCGUAAAGCGAGCGCAGGCGGUUAGAUAAGUCUGAAGUUAAAGGCUGUGGCUUAACCAUAGUACGCUUUGGAAACUGUUUAACUUGAGUGCAAGAGGGGAGAGUGGAAUUCCAUGUGUAGCGGUGAAAUGCGUAGAUAUAUGGAGGAACACCGGUGGCGAAAGCGGCUCUCUGGCUUGUAACUGACGCUGAGGCUCGAAAGCGUGGGGAGCAAACCAGGAUUAGAUACCCUGGUAGUCCACGCCGUAAACGAUGA
rnacentral:rRNA from 1 species